rnacentral:rRNA from 1 species
GAUGAACGCUGGCGGCGUGCCUAAUACAUGCAAGUAGAACGCUGAAGGAGGAGCUUGCUCUUCUGGAUGAGUUGCGAACGGGUGAGUAACGCGUAGGUAACCUGCCUGGUAGCGGGGGAUAACUAUUGGAAACGAUAGCUAAUACCGCAUGACAGCAGUUAUUGCAUGAUAACUGUUUAAAAGGGGCAACUGCUCCACUACCAGAUGGACCUGCGUUGUAUUAGCUAGUUGGUGAGGUAACGGCUCACCAAGGCGACGAUACAUAGCCGACCUGAGAGGGUGAUCGGCCACACUGGGACUGAGACACGGCCCAGACUCCUACGGGAGGCAGCAGUAGGGAAUCUUCGGCAAUGGACGGAAGUCUGACCGAGCAACGCCGCGUGAGUGAAGAAGGUUUUCGGAUCGUAAAGCUCUGUUGUAAGAGAAGAACGAGUGUGAGAGUGGAAAGUUCACACUGUGACGGUAUCUUACCAGAAAGGGACGGCUAACUACGUG